rnacentral:rRNA from 1 species
GAUGAACGCUGGCGGCGUGCCUAAUACAUGCAAGUCGAGCGAAUGGAUUAAGAGCUUGCUCUUAUGAAGUUAGCGGCGGACGGGUGAGUAACACGUGGGUAACCUGCCCAUAAGACUGGGAUAACUCCGGGAAACCGGGGCUAAUACCGGAUAAUAUUUUGAACUGCAUGGUUCAAAAUUGAAAGGCGGCUUCGGCUGUCACUUAUGGAUGGACCCGCGUCGCAUUAGCUAGUUGGUGAGGUAACGGCUCACCAAGGCAACGAUGCGUAGCCGACCGGAGAGGGUGAGCGGCCACACUGGGACUGAGACACGGCCCAGACUCCUACGGGAGGCAGCAGUAGGGAAUAUGCCGCAAUGGACGAAAGUAUGACGGAGCAACGCCGCGUGAGUGAUGAAGGCUUUCGGGUCGUAAAACUCUGUUGUUAGGGAAGAACAAGUGCUAGUUGAAUAAGCUGGCACCUUGACGGUACCUAACCAGAAAGCCACGGCUAACUACGUGCCAGCAGCCGCGGUAA